rnacentral:tRNA from 1 species
GGGUUCGUAGCUCAGCUGGUUAGAGCGUCUCGUUUACACCGAGAAGGUCAGAGGUUCGAAUCCUCUCGAACCCACCA